ensembl:lncRNA
UUUUUAGGUAUCAUUUACGUUUUUAGCAAGAGUCAGACUGAUACUGCCACAUCUUUCUUGGAGACUUUUCCACGGUUUAACUAUAAGUUGAGAAAUGGAGUAUUUCCUGUAACAAGGAUGUUACAGUCAACAGGGAAUUCUGCCCUCCGUAUGUGAAUGUCUCCACCCUAAGGGCAAUCAGGAAGGAGACUAAUACCUGCUCUCCAGCAGACAUCAGGCUGCGGCCUCAGCCUGAGAACAUAAUUGUCACUAUUGGUCACAUUACCAAGGCUUUGACUGAAAUGCCACAUUUGAGAGAAGAAUGCAUGGACUCAGAUAUGACCAGUCAACUUUAAGGAACUAAGGAUGACUUUAUGGAGCCAAAUUUCCCCUUGGAAAAAACAUGCAGUGGUAUCCUUACAGGAUUCCCAGUAGCCUUACCAGAAUCAUAGAAAAUUGAAGACCCCCUUAUCCUGAAGCCCUGAAAACUGAAGCUGGACUGCAUGAUAUAAACUUAAGAGAGAGCACCACAAUAGCCCAUGUUUUGACAAUCUGUGCCUUUUGCUGUGUACUCAGCUCAGAAAGUUUAUCCUAACAUCAAUGACAUCACGAGAGACAUUCAAACUACAGACCAGGAAAUUAUGUCAGAUGGUCACUUUCUACCCUCACUUCAUCUCAAGAUGCUUCAAGCCUGACAUCUAGAAAUGUUCUUGAUUGAGAGUUCUCAGGACUCCGACAAUGGAUUAUAAUUUGCUCCAAUCACUAACUGUUGUUUUUCUUUGGUUUUCGUAGAAACGCAUCUUUUUAAAAUUUGCUUGCACCUUAUAGGCCUAGCUUUGGAAGCCACCUGACUCAUAGCCUCCUGAAACGAAUAUAAUUGUAUCGAUUCAUUAUCAGGACUAUGGGGCUGACUUAGUGAGGUGGAACAAUCUACCAACUCAGCUUCUGGACUGUGAGGCUUCUUGGAGAAGUUUCAAAGGCAGGACUGUAAAGGAGCAAAAUUUGGCACCACAAAAUAUAUCUUUUUGGCAUGAGGAUUAAUUUAUGCUAAUUAUUUUUAAGAAACAGAGGACUCAGUAAAUCUUUCUUUUUACCUCUCUCUUAAAUGCU